UGGGGAAUAUUGCGCAAUGGGGGGAACCCUGACGCAGCCAUGCCGCGUGAAUGAAGAAGGCCUUAGGGUUGUAAAGUUCUUUCGGUAUUGAGGAAGGUUGAUGUGUUAAUAGCACAUCAAAUUGACGUUAAAUACAGAAGAAGCACCGGCUAACUCCGUGCCAGCAGCCGCGGUAAUACGGAGGGUGCGAGCGUUAAUCGGAAUAACUGGGCGUAAAGGGCACGCAGGCGGUUAUUUAAGUGAGGUGUGAAAGCCCUGGGCUUAACCUGGGAAUUGCAUUUCAGACUGGGUAACUAGAGUACUUUAGGGAGGGGUAGAAUUCCACGUGUAGUGGUGAAAUGCGUAGAGAUGUGGAGGAAUACCGAAGGCGAAGGCAGCCCCUUGGGAAUGUACUGACGCUCAUGUGCGAAAGCGUGGGGAGCAAACAGGAUUAGAUACCCUGGUAGUCCACGCUGUAAACGCUGUCGAUUUGGGGGUUGGGGUUUAACUCUGGCGCCCGUAGCUNACNUGAUAAAUCGACCGCCUGGGGAGUACGGCCGCAAGGNU
rnacentral:rRNA from 1 species